rnacentral:lncRNA from 1 species
GGGUUAUUGUUGAAGGUCGUACGAUGACGUAUGGUUGUUAACACAUACUUCCUUUGGUUUAUUAUGGAAAUUUGUCCAUUGAAAACAAACAUACCACAUCAUCUACUUUAUAUAAGUAUUGUAUAAAUUACAACGUAUUUUGGUGAUCUUGCAAAAUGAUCGUAAACCCGAAAAUCGUAAACAUAUUUUCUUAUCUUAAAAGGGGGCAAGAAGGGUUCCAUUAACAGGCCAAUAAAUAAGAUUACAGUUAAUUUAAAAAAAAAAAUAAAAAAAUAGGGCUAUUUUUUCUCUCAUAAUAACAGUAAACAGAUUCACAACAAUGUCAAUUUCAAGAAAGCAGACAACAGUUAAUUAGUCAAUAACAGUAUCUAUGAUCUUGAAUAUGUGCCAUUUUUAACUAAAAUAUAAAGGCACAGAACCAGGACAUAGGAGCACAGAACCAGGACCGUUUUUCUUAUCACCAGCGCAGCGUCAGGACAAUUCCGUUUAAGGAACUUGCACGACCUUUGCAAUAUAAUAUUGUUGUAAUAUACUUUGCAUGGUACUUAUGACGAAUCAGAGAAAAAUUAAGCAACAAAACAGUCGUUUUAUUGCCGUCCUGAUACAAUGUAAACAAACCCACCAGCACAGAAUCAGGACCCACCAGCACCUGACAGGACCAAAUCACCAGCACAGAACGUUCUCUCGCAGGACAACCAUACCCACC